GGGGUUGUGGCUCAGAGGUAGAGUGCUCGCCUAGCAUGAGUGAGGCACUGGGUUCAAUCCUCAGCACCACA
rnacentral:tRNA from 1 species